AACCGCUGUACGCUUGGGUACGGCGAAGGGCCGCUUGGGGCCGACGGG
rnacentral:sRNA from 12 species